rnacentral:rRNA from 1 species
UUGACCUCGGAUCAGGUAGGAAUACCCGCUGAACUUAAGCAUAUCAAUAAGCGGAGGAAAAGAAACCAACAGGGAUUACCCUAGUAACGGCGAGUGAAGCGGUAACAGCUCAAAUUUGAAAUCUGACCUUCACGGGUCCGAGUUGUAAUUUGUAGAGGAUAUUUCGGACAAGACUUUGGUUUAAGUUUCUUGGAACAGAACGUCAUAGAGGGUGAGAGUCCCGUCUAGAACCGAUAGUCGCAUCCAUGUGAAAUUCCUUCGACGAGUCGAGUUGUUUGGGAAUGCAGCUCAAAAUGGGUGGUAAAUUUCAUCUAAAGCUAAAUAUUGGCGAGAGACCGAUAGCAAACAAGUAGAGUGAUCGAAAGGUGAAAAGUACUUUGAAAAGAGAGUGAAACAGUACGUGAAAUUGUUGAAAGGGAAGCGUUUGGCAUCAGCCCAUGGCGCUCGAAGAUCAUCCGGGCUUCUGUCCGGUGCACUUUUCGAGCGUUGGGCCAGCGUCGACUUUGCCCGCCGGAGAAAGGCCGGGGGGACGUGUCUCCCUUCGGGGAGAGUUAUAACCCCUGGCGUCAUGCGGUGUGGUGGGGUCGAGGUCCGC